AGAUUGAACGCUGGCGGCAUGCCUAACACAUGCAAGUCGAACGGGAGUAGCAAUACUCUAGUGGCGGACGGGUGAGGAAUACGUAGGAAUUUGCCCUUAAGUGGGGGAUAACCCGGGGAAACCCGGAUUAAUACCGCAUGACCUCGAAAGAGCAAAGUGGGGGAUCGCAAGACCUCACGCUUUUGGAGAAGCCUACGUCGGAUUAGCUAGUUGGUGAGGUAAUGGCUCGCCAAGGCGACGAUCCGUAACUGGUCUGAGAGGAUGAUCAGUCACACCGGAACUGAGACACGGUCCGGACUCCGUACGGGAGGCCAGGCGAGUGGGGGAAUAGUUGGACAAGUGGGCGCAAGCCUGAUCCAGCAAUGCCGCGUGUGUGAAGAAGGCCUUGGGUUGUAAG
rnacentral:rRNA from 1 species